rnacentral:rRNA from 1 species
GUAAGGAAUAUUGGGCAAUGGACGCAAGUCUGACCCAGCCAUGCCGCGUGCAGGAUGACGGCCCUACGGGUUGUAAACUGCUUUUGUACGGGAAAAAACCCCCGCUCGUGCAGCGGGGCUGAUGGUACCGUAAGAAUAAGCAUCGGCUAACUCCGUGCCAGCAGCCGCGGUAAUACGGAGGAUGCAAGCGUUAUCCGGAUUUAUUGGGUUUAAAGGGUCCGCAGGCGGGUUAAUAAGUCAGAGGUGAAAUCCUACAGCUCAACUGUAGAACUGCCUUUGAUACUGUUAGCCUAGAGUAUAGUUGGGGUAGGCGGAAUAUGUCAUGUAGCGGUGAAAUGCAUAGAUAUGACAUAGAACACCGAUCGCGAAGGCAGCUUACCAAGCUAUCACUGACGCUCAGGGACGAAAGCGUGGGGAUCAAACAGGAUUAGAUACCCGAGUAGUCC